CAAUCAUGCAGUCAUUUUCCAUUUCCAAUGCAGACAACCAAGAUUACUUUGAGAAGCAUCGCUGGCCACCAGUGUGGUUCCUGAAAGAGGACGACCACUACCAAAGAGCUCGGAAGGAGCGCGACAAGGAGGACUACCUUUACCAGAGGCGCCAGUGUAAACGCAAGUGGCUUUUCUGGAACCUUCCUUCAUCCCCCAACUCAAACUCUUCUUCUUCUGGUUCAUCCGCUGUCAUCUGAGCAAGUGGAUUUCUUGGUGCCCACAGGACUGAAGUGUCAAUCACCCCAAAAAAAAAAAAAAAACUCUUCUUGCAAAUGACCCAGACUUCAAAA